CUGAGAAACGGUGCCCUCGUGGCCCGACCCUCAAACCACCGUGUACCAAACUAAACCGUUGCCUCGGCGGGCCGGGCCCUCGUGGCCCCCCUCGUCCGCCUCCCCUUCGCGGGGCGGUUGGACUCGGGCGCGCCCGCCGCAGGAACCCAACAAGACCGUUUUGUGUGACGAACGUCUGAACUUUUCUUCGCGAAUGCGAUAAAGUA
rnacentral:misc_RNA from 1 species